rnacentral:rRNA from 1 species
CGUGAGGAACCUGCCUUUCAGAGGGGGGACAACAGUUGGAAACGACUGCUAAUACCGCAUAACACAUAGGUGUCGCAUGGCAUUUAUGUCAAAGAUUUAUCGCUGAAAGAUGGCCUCGCGUCUGAUUAGCUAGUUGGUGAGGUAACGGCUCACCAAGGCGACGAUCAGUAGCCGGACUGAGAGGUUGGCCGGCCACAUUGGGACUGAGAUACGGCCCAGACUCCUACGGAAGGCAGCAG